rnacentral:rRNA from 1 species
GACGAACGCUGGCGGCGUGCUUAACACAUGCAAGUCGAACGGAAAGGCCCUGCUUUUGUGGGGUGCUCGAGUGGCGAACGGGUGAGUAACAAGUGAGUAACCUGCCCUUGACUUUGGGAUAACUUCAGGAAACUGGGGCUAAUACCGGAUAGGAGCUCCUGCUGCAUGGUGGGGGUUGGAAAGUUUCGGCGGUUGGGGAUGGACUCGCGGCUUAUCAGCUUGUUGGUGGGGUAGUGGCUUACCAAGGCUUUGACGGGUAGCCGGCCUGAGAGGGUGACCGGCCACAUUGGGACUGAGAUACGGCCCAGCCUCCUACGGGAGGCAGCAGUGGGAAAUAUUGCACAAUGGGCGGAAGCCUGAUGCAGCAACGCCGCGUGCGGGAUGACGGCCUUCGGGUUGUAAACCGUUUUCGCCUGUGACGAAGCGUGAGUGACGGUAAUGGGUAAAGAAGCACCGGCUAACUACGUG